UACAGAGGUCUCAAGCGUUGUUCGGAUUCAUUGGGCGUAAAGGGUGCGUAGGCGGCGCGGUAAGUCGGGUGUGAAAUCUCGGAGCUUAACUCAGAAACUGCCGUGGAUACUAUUUGCCUUGAAUAUUGUGGAGGUGAGCGGAAUAUGUCAUGUAGCUGUGAAAUGCUUAGAUAUGACAUAGAACACCAAUUGCGAAGGCAGCUCACUACACAAUCAUUGACGCUGAGGCACGAAAGCGUGGGGAUCAAACAGG
rnacentral:rRNA from 1 species